UGAUAACUCCUGGCACAACCAUUAAGACCCUCAUCUAUAGUGAAUUGGAACAAAGCACAGGUGACUGUAACACAGAUUGAUGAAAGAUUCUGCAGGACGACAAAGGUUAAAGAUGCAGACCCGGAGCUAGAAGCCAGCACUGACACUGAUGGAGUGGACUGCGAUGAGAAUGCCCACAUUAUUGUCCUAUCCUCUGAUAACCAAUGUAAUAUGAAAACCGACUACAGAAGAAAGGAACAAAUUAAGUCCAUUAAUCAAGCAUAUCUCUGCUAAACAGUUGUUCGAAACUGAUGAACAAAUGAAAAAUUUACUGUUUGUUUUCAUGCUUGCAAGGAUUGGGGAAGAAAAUUAAUUAUAAGGUACUGGCCACACUAUCAGUUAAGUUUUUCUUGAGGAAACUAUUGCUUUGUCAAAGGACAAAUGAACCUCAUUAGGGAGAUUAGUUUCAGCUGGUAGUUUUGCAUUAGUACAAACUAAUAAUACACACUUCAAAAGAUACCCUGAGUAAGAUUAUGAAAAUUGAAAUCCAUUUGUUACUUCUUAAUUUACUAACUGUUAGAAAAUGACCACUCUAUUACUUAUCAUGAAACCAGAAG
rnacentral:lncRNA from 1 species